GACGAACGCUGGCGGCGUGCUUAACACAUGCAAGUCGAACGGAAAGGCCCUGCUUGCAGGGUACUCGAGUGGCGAACGGGUGAGUAACACGUGGGUGAUCUGCCCUGCACUUCGGGAUAAGCCUGGGAAACUGGGUCUAAUACCGGAUAGGAGCCAUUUUUAGUGUGAUGGUUGGAAAGUUUUUUCGGUGUAGGAUGAGCUCGCGGCCUAUCAGCUUGUUGGUGGGGUAAUGGCCUACCAAGGAGGCGACGGGUAGCCGGCCUGAGAGGGUGGACGGCCACAUUGGGACUGAGAUACGGCCCAGCCUCCUACGGGAGGCAGCAGUGGGGAAUAUUGCACAAUGGGCGCAAGCCUGAUGCAGCGACGCCGCGUGGGGGAUGACGUCCUUCGGGUUGUAAACUCCUUUCGCUAGGGACGAAGCUUUUUGUGACGGUACCUAGAUAAGAAGCUCCGGCUAACUACGUG
rnacentral:rRNA from 1 species